UAAAACUAUGGAUAUCAGGAGAGGGGGAGUAAUUUCUCUCAUAGGACUUUGCCUGUUCCUUUUGCUUCUCAAGCUGUAGCCUGUAGAUAUAUAAAGGUAGGAUCCACUUCUUGAAAAUAUGCCAUGAAAAUAUACCCUGAAUAUUUUGUCUUCCAGGACACCUUCCUUGAAGAGUUGGGCCUAGCAAUAUGGCAGUGCACAUUGGAUAAGAAACCUUGUACCAGGCUGCUGCUCAGCUCUGUUCCAAAGGAGCUCACAAUACGUGUGUUUGUGCAUGAUGUGCCUCUGUUCUGGCCGCAGGGCCGUGUGCUCCCUGACCCACCGCCUUGACCGCCACGCAGCUAUUGCAGGGCCAGAGCUUGCUGGGUGCUCCUCAAUUGCCUUUAGGCUCCAACAUAGAAGUUGUCCUGUUUUUUUUUUUCAAUCGAAGAUGCUGAAGCUCUGCAGCUCCUGUUCUUGGCAUGAAUUCAGAGGGCUGAAAACUUUGGGACUCUUUUAAGGCUUGUGCUGUUACUUUAGGUGUUCCAAGGACUGAUGCUUCUGGACACAUCCAAUAUGGGUGGUUUGCUUCUCCCUCACAGCAGUUUGGAUUAAGGAACUGUGGAACCACCUGAGAUUUUGUGGAGGAGCUGUGUGGAGAAUGGGCACAUGCCUAGAAGAUGAAGUGAAGCACUAGAAAUACCAUGGCCAGAGAAUGGCUGAAAAUGAGCUGCUUCACUUCACUUCAGCACCCAUCCCUCUUCGCCCUCGUGGACAGUGGGUGCAGAUGGCACUGUGCUUUUCUUGGCGUGCCAGAUUUGAUAGAGGAGCAGUGACUUCCAAGACUAUUCUGCUCCAGCAAGCUUUACAGAAAUGAGAGGAAUCACAGCUCCAUAUCCAGCAGUCAGGAAGAAGGUUGGAAGGACAAAGAGAAGUUUUAAGGUGUACUGGAGCCUGCAGUGCCACAUUAAGUGAUGUGGAAGCAUGGACUGGCACCAGGAGUGAGGAGACUGUGGCUGCUGUGCUUGCAUCCCGUUGCUAUUUCUGGCAUACAGAGACUGAGCAGUGCUUGAUGGGCCAAAGGGUACCAAAUGAGGAUACCAAAAGUAAUCUGAACAUAGCAGCUUUCUUCCAAGGACCUCCAAACACUCCAGGGACAUGGUAAGCAUUGUUCUGAUGGUUCUAUAUUAUGGGGAAGCAAGUUAGGAAGAAAUGUUUGCUGACUGACUUGGUGUGGAAUUGAACAACGAAGCACAAAGCAGACAAGAAGCUGUUUGUCAAAUUCCUCACUUGACAGAGCACUGUUCUGGUAAUGCCCAAAUCAGUGCACCUAUGCCAAACUUGGCUUCCAAUGGAUGUGCCCCGCACUGUGACUUUGUACCUUGCCUCAAAUGAUUAGAAUUCUUCAUUUGUAUCAGUAAAUACUUUUUACUCCACUGAAGACACUUGAUUUAUUUGCAAACCAUUCUCAUAUAUCCUCAUACAUGAUUCGGUGCAGUCCAUAGAGCUGAGAUAGAACUUAAAGUCAGAGAGUCAUAGAAUCAACCAGGUUGGAAGAGACCUCCAAGGUCAUCCAGUCAAACCUACCACCUAACCCUUCUAAUUAACUAAACCAUGGCACUAAGGGCCUCAUCCAGUCUUUUGUUGAACAUCUCCAGGGAUGGCAACUCCACCACCUCCCUGGGCAGCCCAUUCCAAUGGCAUAUUUCUUACAUGAUCUCUGUGUAGUUUGCCUAGGAGGAAGUUACUGACUUGCCUCAAAGAGGCCUUAAGGUUUUAUAGUUAGUGCUUAGAUCGCUGAAUCAUCCUCUCUGGCUGAGCACCCCUUCUCCUUACAUGUCAUCUCCUUUGAAUUCUCAUUUCAGUUGGCCUCAGCAAAAAUCAGUAAUAGUUUGUCUUCACUCUGCUUUCUACUAUAACUGUGCACCUUCCGAGGUCUCUUCUCCCUCUGAACCUGUCUCCAUGAUUAAAUUCGUUCUUCCCUUCUGU